rnacentral:rRNA from 1 species
UGGGGAAUUUUCCGCAAUGGGCGAAAGCCUGACGGAGCAAUGCCGCGUGGAGGUGGAAGGCCUACGGGUCGUCAACUUCUUUUCUCGGAGAAGAAACAAUGACGGUAUCUGAGGAAUAAGCAUCGGCUAGCUCUGCGCCAG